UACGUAGGGUGCGAGCGUUGCUCGGAAUCACUGGGCGUAAAGGGCGCGUAGGCGGGAUGGCAAGUCAGUCGUGAAAUCUCUCGGCUCAACCGAGAAACGUCGGCUGAUACUGCCGUUCUUGAGGGAUGCAGAGGAGACUGGAAUUCCCGGUGUAGCGGUGAAAUGUGUAGAGAUCGGGAGGAACACCGGUGGCGAAGGCGGGUCUCUGGGCAUCUCCUGACGCUGAGGCGCGAAAGCGUGGGGAGCAAACGGG
rnacentral:rRNA from 1 species